AGUGGCGAUAGCUGUGUGGGACCACCUGUACCCAUGCCGAACACAGAAGUUAAGCACAUACACGCCGAAAGUACUUGUCUGGCGACGGACUGGGAGGAUAGGGAGUUGCUG
rnacentral:rRNA from 1 species